GGUGCAAAGAUCUUAUAAUAACCUUCAAAACACUGUGAGCUUUUUAUAAAUAGACAAAAAAUUAAUAAUUUCGAAUUUUUAUUUUCUAUCUAAAACAUUUCAGACAUCCAUUUUUGUGACAGCUACAUAUUCCGUUUCUCACCAAGAAGCUGCUCAUUUGGAAUGGCCGAUAUCGGACCACUAUAGCAUAUAGCUGCCAUACAAACAAUCGGAAUCAAGUUGUUGUAUGGAAAUCUUUUUCAUUUCACGAGGAAAUGUUCAUGAAAUUCGGAACGAAUUAUUAUCUAAAACAAUAAUGAAAUCUCUGAAGAAGUUAUAUUGCUGUCAUACAAGCUAAACGAUCGGCAUCAAGUUCUUCUGAGCUUACAUCACAUAUAUGUACGUUUCUUACAUCGUAAACGUGUGUGUGUGGAGAAAUAACUUUCAAACCUCAGCGUCGUGAUUUCACGUUAUUAAUUGAAGAGUGUUAUUUAGACUAUUUUGGAUUUCCUGUGAGCAAUUUUAGUGAAUCCUGGGUUCCACAUAAUUGUUAUGCAAAGUGUGUGAAACUGCUAUUAAGUUGGUCUAAACAAGAACCGAGACAUAUGCCAUUUGCUAUAUCAAUGAUUUGGACCGAACUGAAGUAUCAUUCCAAGCCUUUCAGUGAGCCCUGAUGACAAUCUUUCACCACCAUUGCUCAUAAAGCUCGGCAUGAUAAAAAAUUUUGUAAAAGCUAUGUCUAGAGAUGGCAGUAGAAUUGUGUAUCUAAAAGAGAAACUCUUUAAUAGUGAAGCGCUAUCAAAGGAAAUAGAGCUCAGUGCUCUUGAUUAUUGUUAAAGAUUUAAAAAAAACCUUUCAGAGGCCAAACAAUCACAAAAAUUAUAAGUAUUUUUUCUAAAUUAAGCAACAUUUUCUUUAAAUGUGGCUGAUGUUUCUGUCUUUUAAGAUAAUAUACUUGUAUGUUUUGAUGUCACAAGAAAACCGAACUUAUAAAUUUUUUUCAUUCACAUAAUAUUGUUUAAUGGCCCUAGUAAGUUUGUUAACCGGUGUUAUUAGAAGCAAUGAAAAGUUAGCUCUAUAGAUUGUGAUAUCUCAGCAAGUUUGUUUAAGAUUUUAUCAACCUCAAAGAUCAGAAAUUUAUAAUAGAAUACUGGUAGAUGGCACUAAUAUCGUUAGUAAAUAAAUCGGAUGACCGAGACUAUAGGAACUAUAAAACAUAUACAAUAAUAAUGACUAAGAUAGUACAUUACUUUGAUUAUUUGCUAGGGGAUUACCAUUAUUUUUUCAAUAAUUAUAUUUCUUCUAACCUCUUCAUGUUGACACAACUUCAGUAAAUGUGUCAGAAAUCACACUCAAAAUAUCAUGCAAGACGUGAAAUGAGAGAAAGAGUAAAUGAAUGGCGCCUAAAACAAGUAAAAUAUUACCGUUAGAAAAACUAAAAAAAGAAGCCUCAGUUAGUGUAUACGGAGCAAGUAAGCCGCUUAUUCUAUAAAUAUGUCACCUAACCUUAAGUAUGAGGGCGUAAUCGUCGUUCACGACGCACCGAAGACAUUGUGUUCGCGGCAAAUUUUAUAUGCAUAAGCCCCUCGACUUAUAAUACUAAUAUACAAUACCAAUUGCACAAUGAACGCAUACAAUAAUUGAAAAGGCGUCGCUCUUUCACUCAUAAUAUUUCUAUUAUAUCCACAUGUGUUUUCUUGUUUUCCACUUGCUGCUUAUUGACGUUACUUUUUUAUGACCUAAACAAGUCGUUUUAUACUGCUGCUAAGUAUCUAGUUGUUUGGACCAAAGGUUAAAUAUGUAUGUAUACUUACAUACAUAGAAAAUGUAUAAAACGUCGCGAGUAAGAACUUGAAGUAUACUUUCAAGCGCUCACACAUGCGUAUUGUUUGAGGAAGC